UACGUAGGGUGCGAGCGUUAAUCGGAAUUACUGGGCGUAAAGCGUGCGCAGGCGGUUAUGUAAGACAGAGGUGAAAUCCCCGGGCUCAAACUGGGAACCGACUUUGUGACUGCAUGACUAGAGUACGGCAGAGGGGGAUUGAAUUUCGCGUGUAGCAGUGAAAUGCGUAGAUAUGCGGAGGAACACCGAUGGCGAAGGCAAUCCCCCGGGCCUGUACUGACGCUCAUGCACGAAAGCGUGGGGAGCAAACAGG
rnacentral:rRNA from 1 species